rnacentral:sRNA from 1 species
GGAAGGGGACUUCUGCAGAAUUGCAAAAUGUGAGCCAGCAUGUCGUCAUGGAGGUGUCUGUGUUAGACCGAACAAGUGCCUCUGUAAAAAAGGAUAUCUUGGUCCUCAAUGUGAACAAGUGGACAGAAACAUCCGCAGAGUGACCAGGGCAGACAUCACCUAGAUGAAACACCUUUACCCUGUCCUGUAAAACACUAAAGUUACAUUUUUCACCAACUUAAUUGGAAAGAAGGGGAGUGAGAAAGCAAACAGUCUUUAAUGUGCUGUGGAUCUAAUCUAGCAAGGUAUCCUUGUGCCAACAUGUAAUCAUUAACGACGGAUGAAAAA